AUACUUGCCUGGCAGGGGAGAUACCAUGAUCACGAAGGUGAUUUUCCCAGAGUGAGGCUUAUCCUUUUUGUACUUUGGAUGUGCUGACCCCUGCAGUUUCCCCAAAUGUAGCAAACUCAACUGCAUGAUUUGUGGUAUUGGGGGACUGCAUUCAUACUCCCCUUA
rnacentral:snRNA from 1 species